rfam:Fimbriiglobus ruber strain SP5 contig19, whole genome shotgun sequence.
CCCAGGGCUGACGGCCUGGGCUAUUCGCUGUCGCCCCGUUGGGGCU